CUCACCUCGGCUGCAGUGAAGGAGAGACCGCAUGUUUUCGUUGCAGGCCGUGUCAGUGGCACUGGGCUGGGUUUCUUCUUGUAGUCUGUGAUUGACUGUAGACCCUGCCACAUGCCUCUUGUGUCUGAGCCGUUGAAUUGAGAUUCUACUUUGUCUCUGUACUGACGCUUAGCUUGUUUAAUAGCCUUGCGGAGGGAAUAGCUGCACUGUUUGUAUUCGGUCAUGUUGCCAGACACCUUGCCCUGAUUAAAAGCAGUGGUUCGCGCUUUCAGUUUCAUGCGAAUGCUGCCAUCAAUCCACGGUUUCUGGUUAGGGAAUGUUUUUAUCGUUGCUAUGGGAACGACAUCUUCAACGCACGUUCUAAUGAACUCGCACACCGAAUCAGCGUAUUCGUCAAUAUUUUUAUCUGACGCAAUACGAAACAUGUCCCAGUCCACGUGAUUGAAGCAGUCUUGGAGUGUGGAGUCAGCUUGGUCUGACCAGCGUUGGACAGACCUCAGCGUGGGAGCCUCUUGCUUAAGUUUCUGCCUGUAGACAGGGAUCAACAAAAUGGAGUCGUGGUCAGCUUUUCCGAAAGGGGGGCGGGGCAGGGCCUUAUAUGCGUCGCGGAAGUUAGAGUAACAAUGAUCCAAGGUUUUACCACCCCUGGUUGCGCAAUCGAUAUGCUGAUAAAAUUUAGGGAGUCUUGUUUUCAGAUUAGCUUUGUUAAAAUCCCCAGCUACAAUGAAUGCAGCCUCCGGAUAAAUGGUUUCCAGUUUGCAAAGAGUUAAAUAAAGUUUGUUCAGAGCCAUCGAUGUGUCUGCUUGGGGGGGAAUAUAUACGGCUGUGAUUAUAAUCGAAGAGAAUUCUCUUGGAAGAUAAUGCGGUCUACAUUUGAUUGUGAGGAAUUCUAAAUCAGGUGAACAGAAGGAUUUGAGUUCCUGUAUGUUUCCUUCAUCACACCAUGUCUCGUUAGUCAUGAGGCAUACGCCCCCGCCACUCUUCUUACCAGAAAGAUGUUUGUUUCUGUCGGCGCGAUGCGUGGAGAAACCCGUUGGCUGCACCGCAUCGGAUAGCGUCUUCCCAGUAAGCCAUGUUUCCGUGAAGCAGAGAACGUUGCAGUCUCUGAUGUCCCUCUGGAAUGCUACCCUUGCUCGGAUUUCAUCAACCUUGUUGUCAAGAGACUGGACAUUGGCAAGAAGAAUGCUGGGGAGUGGUGCGCGAUGUGCCCUUGUCCUGAGUCUGACCAGAAGACCGCUACGUUUCCCUCUUUUUCGGAGUCGUUUUCUUGGGUCGCUGCAUGCGAUCCAUUCCGUUGUCCUGUUUGUAAGGCAGAACACAGGAUCCGCGUCGCAGAAAACAUUAGGGUUGGUAUCGCUGCUGAGGUCAGAGAUCAAUCCAUUUGCGGGUGGAGGUUCACUACUUAGCGGGUAGUGAACCUGGGGACUACCCCCUCUGAUAGCUUGCACAUUAUUAGAACAUUUUGAAAGGAAAAAAUGUUUUUCCUAAUUUUCCAAAGUUUGGUUUUGGAAUAUAUUGGGAGCUGCAAAGACGAUUUUAAUCUAUUUAUAGACUAAUGGUUAAUUAACCAUCAGUACUGGACAGUACUGUGGAAGUUGGACGUGAAUGAAUUUGCAAAAGCAAAUUGAAUUAAUCAAUGAUAAUGAUUAAUCAUACCUGGAUAGGCUAUCUGGGAAUUAAACUUUAAAUUAACCUGGGAAGUUGGUUCAUCUAGGUUACUAUUGCAAAGUUUAAGGUGUCUCAUUUAAUUGGAAGAACCUAGAAAGGUAUGUCCAACAAUUUAAAUAAAUAAAUUGAAUGAGACGAUAAUACCCAAGCAAUUGAGAUUGCUGGAUUAUUUUAACGUGAUCCACGUUUGGAUUUCCAACACUUUUUUAAAAAGAUGUAUUUGCGAUUCUUCACCACCAGUGAUGCUGAAAUCAUUUAAACGGAACACAGGAAGUGAAAAAUGUUCCCUCUCUGUUAGCUUAGCCUCUCGUGCCAGCUAUAUCACGUUCUAAGCACAAAAUAGGGUCUCUUUCACUAUGGAAAGGGUGGGUUUACUAGUGACGUCUCACAUUAACCCAUUCGGCAUACUUUGCUAGCGUUAUGUUGACCAGAGCGACACGGUACAUAAUACGGGUAUGCCUCUAGUCAGUCCACACUGGUUUACUGUGGUAGGCGGACAGAAAUACUUUGGCUCGAAUGCCGAAGAUCUAUCCUCUAAUUUCUAACCUUUCUGGCUCUAGAAGUUAAUAUUGACCGACAGAAAAUAGUACCGUUUGGCCUAACGGACUAAAUCUGGAAUUUAUUACUCAUUGCUCUUACGCUAAAGAAUACUACCGGAGGCGCACUGUAGCCUCUUCAAAAACACAUACAACCAAUUUGAAUGUAUACAAAGCAGUCUGUUCGUACACUUCUGUUUGCACAAUUGAUAUAUAGAAUUCCACAGCAAAGUCUAAUUCUAUAUUAGAUUCCUCGCAACGGGGUGUCAUAAAUGUUGUGUCUUUACUAUCAUUAACUGAAGACUGAUAGUUUUUAUCAAAGAUUCACUGUAAUUAGUUAUUACACGAUCAACUGAUUAAUCACGUAACUAAUUAACUAGGAAUUCGGGGCACCAAGGAAAAAUAUUCAGAUUACAAAUGAUUUUAUCUGAUCAAUUAGUCUUCGAAUGAAUGAUUUACUUUACCUCACGUUAGUCUCAUUCCAAACGUCGUAAAUGGUUGGUUAUCUACACGAACCCAGUCUUCACUAUGAGUCAUCGAUACAUCAAUUGUUUUAAAUCAUUUAUUUAUUACUAACUAAGUAAUUCACAGAAAUGCAUAAACAAACAAACAAACAAGCUAAAUGUAAUGAUAGGAAAAUGCGCCUUAGUCGGCUAAACCGGCACGGCGGCUUGUUAGAAAAAAAGGCGAAGUGGGGGUCGACUAAGAAGUCACUACAAAAUGAUAACUAUAACAAUUGAAAUGCUAAUCCUUUACACAUGAAUGCUCACUCAUUCGGGAACAAUUGCAAUCAAUCAAUAUAUUUACGCUCAGUGUGUCGUCUUGACCACUGGUGAAAAGUUUGUGUGUCUCUCUCUCCCUCUCUGUCUUGGUUAGAGGGGAUAGUUCAAAGUGACAUUCGUUAUAGAAUGGAUGUUUCGGCGGUUGUCGUUCUUCGCGUUCAAUGAUGCCGAAUUCCUAGCUGCAGACUAGUAAUUAAUAUCAAAGACUUGUUCUCAUUCUGUCGGUAUCGAUAGUCUAAGAGUUUAACCACGUGGUAUGGUUAAAAUAUUCAGCAAUGGUCUACAACCUUUGUACUCCCGUGAUUGAGAGAAACAUGGUCUGGUGAUAAUGUUUCAAAGUUGGAUUUUAUUCGGAAUGGCAGAAAUGGGCUGUCCCAGGAUGUCUGACCCUAACUGGGCUCAGAGGCGGUCCUCUGAUUUAGUUCAAAUCCAAUUCCCUUUUUGAGUUUUCCUUCAUUAAACAGUCCAAAAUCACAUUGUAAAAUUGUGUAAACAGUAUCAUACUCACUCAUUCAUCUUGUACAACAAUUAGAUGUAAACCUUAUAUCUGGGGCUAUUAUAUAAACAGCGUUAUGGUAAUGUGGCCACACCGUCUCCCAUGAGCUUCCCAAGUUGUGACAAACGGACCAGUUCGUAGCUGGAUUCUUCACCAAUCUUUUAUACUUUCUCCGGAACAUGACAUUUGUUCAUACCUCAAGUUCUGUGAGGUGGAAGGAUUUCCUUUGUUCUCCAUGAAAAACUAUUCUCUAUAACUAUGUGUCCAUGAGGUCUUCUCAGGAAUUUACGACCUCUGACCACAGCAGCCUAGUUGAAGGAGGCAAGGGGGAGGCAGGGAGAGGGGGAUGGGCUUGCUAUACCCAAAGAGGCCAACGUCAUGACACAGGGAAGGUAGAAAGAAUUGGGAGGGAUGAGUAGACCUAUGUGGUUUCCGGUAUGUCUUUUGCCCACAGCCCUAGAGCCAAUUGAGCUGGCAGCUGAGCAGCCCGCAGCACCAGGGUUAGCCCAAGAAGCAGAUGAGGUAGAGGAGAAACAAGCCCCAGUUAGACGCUCUGCAAAACAAACUAGAGCCCUAUAAAAAGAGACUAUCAGACACACCCGAGGGCUCUUGGAUUUGGGGGUGGAAACCCUGUCGACCGCCUCCUUCCUGGCAGGCAGCCACCACCUGCAGCAGCGCGUCAUCUUCUACAGUCAGUCCGACAGGUCCAGACAACCAACAACUCUGGAAGUCCGACUCUUCUGAUUGUGAUGGGCUUGUCUUCUUUUAUGAAAAGGGAAGUCAAAAUAAUCACACAAGUUGGUGUGAAUGUGAUCCAACGAUUGGUUAAGAGGGUGGUACUGAGGACCCCUGUCUGUAUCCCUGACCUGUACAGAUUGUUCCCUAGACUGGGUGGUGUACUUGUUGGUGAUUUGGAAGGUGACACCGGAGACCGAGAGGGGAUUGAGGCAAGACGUAGGUGAUGAGGCAUCUCUGAAGGACGGAUCCUUCAAAGUGCACCUGAACAGUAUCUGCAUGCAGUGAGGGCUCGAGGAAGCUUGUGACUGGAGAAAAAAACAGGACUGGAGUCUGCCAAAUGAAAUAUUCUCUAGCCGCUCCCAAAUGACUGGACUGAGUUUUUAGUUCCCACACCCCGACAGAUUCGGUCGCAAACCCUGGAACAGCUCAUAAUGGACUAGACUGGGUUCUAUGUUAAAAUAGAUUUUAUUAUAAUAAUUUGUAUUUCAAAUAAACAUUGUAAUUUUCUACUUA